AUUGAACGCUGGCGGCAGGCCUAACACAUGCAAGUCGAGCGGAGCGGCGGACGGGUGAGUAAUGCCUAGGAAUCUGCCUGGUAGUGGUGGAUCACGUCCGGAAACGGGCGCUAAUACCGCAUACUAUCAGAUGAGCCUAGGUCGGAUGAGCUAGUUGGGGGGGUAAAGGCCUACCAAGGCGACGAUCCGUAACUGGUCUGAGAGGAUGAGCAGUCACACGGGAACUGAGACACGGUGCAGACGCCUACGGGAGGCAGCAGGGGGGAAUAUUGGACAAUGGGCGAAAGCCUGAUCCAGCCAUGCCGCGUGUGUGAAGAAGGUCUUCGGAUUGUAAAGCACUUGAAGUUGGGAGGCGGUACCAACAGAAUAAGCACCGGCUAACUUCGUGCCAGCCGCCGCGGUAAUAC
rnacentral:rRNA from 1 species